rnacentral:lncRNA from 1 species
AAGUCGACCCCCAGAAAGUCGAUCUCUGGAAAGUCGACCCCUGGACCCAUCUGAUCAGUUAGGCAGUUAGGCGGUUACUGCCCAAAUGACCAGAUUGACCCCAUAAGAACCCCUAUAAAUAGAGGGCACCCCCCACUCAUUAGAGGUAGGUCAUUUGGAGAAGAAGGAUUCCUAGCGAAGCAGAGCUCUGCACACUUGAGUUCCGGUCCGGUUUCCCGCGGAGUUCCCCGCUUGGCGCUUGCUUGCGCGUCUUGGAGUACUGGUCGGG